CAGGUGUCCUUGUACUUAAAAGAGAAAUCGGUGCAAAGCCGAUGCGGUCACGCCGCUGUAAGGACGAGCGCGCUUCACCAUGUCACUGAACCGGGUUUGGGAAGACGAAGCAGCCAUGACUCCGAGCCAGAAGAACUGCCUGCGUAUUU
rnacentral:ncRNA from 1 species